rnacentral:lncRNA from 1 species
AUUGAGAGUCCCAUAGGGCGUGGCGCACAAUCGGCCCAGCGUCGUCCGGGUUUGGCCCGGGGUAGGCCGUCCGUGUAAAUAAGACUUUGUUCAUAACUGACUUGCCUCGUUAAAUAAAUCUAAAUAAAGUAAAGGCCUGCUGUUUCAUUGAAACAUUGAACAGUAUAGGUCUAUAUUGGGUUAUGUCCUAUGUGUGGAGUCAAACCAAGGCUAGAAUUCCUAACAUUGUCCAGCCUCCCUCGUCGUUAAAACAUUAGUAUGACUUCAUACUGGAGCUCUGAGUCAGACUGAAUGUAAUCACUACAUGGAGAGGACUACAGAGGAACAGAGAGACAAGAUCUACGCAGUACAGAGAGAGGACUACAGAGGACUACAGAGAGACAAGAUCUACUCAGUACAGAGAGAGGACUACAGAGGAACAGAGAGACAAGAUCUACUACAGAGGACUACAGAGGAACAGAGAGACAAGAUCUACGCAGUACAGAGAGAGGACUACAGAGGAACAGAGAGACAAGAUCUACUCAGUACAGAGAGAGGAAUACAGAGGAACAGAGAGACAAGAGCUACUCAGUACAGAGAGAGGACUACAGAGGAACAGAGAGACAAGAUCUACUCAGUACAGAGAGAGGACUACAGAGGAACAGAGAGACAAUAUUUACUACAGAGGACUACAGAGGAACAGAGAGACAAGAUCUACUACAGAGGACUAUAGAGGAACAGAGAGACAAUAUCUAUUCAGUACAGAGAGAGGACUACAGAGCAACAGAGAGACAAUAUAUACUACAGAGGACUACAGCGGAACAGAGAGACAAUAUAUACUCAGUAUAGAGAGAGGACUACAGAGGAACAGAGAGACAAUAUAUACUCAGUAUAGAGAGAGGACUACAGAGGAACAGAGAGACAAGAUCUAUUCAGUACAGAGAGAGGACUACAGAGAGACAAUAUCUACUACAGAGGACUACAGAGGAACAGAGAGACAAGAUCUACUCAGUACAGAGAGAGGACUAUAGAGGAAUAGAGAGACAAUAUCUACUCAGUACAGAGAGAGGACUACAGAGGAACAGAGAGACAAUAUCUACUCAGUACAGAGAGAGGACUAUAGAGGAACAGAGAGACAAGAUCUACUCAGUACAGAGAGAGGACUAUAGAGGAACAGAGAGACAAUAUCUACUCAGUACAGAGGACUACAGAGGAACAGAGAGACAAUACAGGAGCUGCUCUCCUGGUACAAUGGCGCCCCCUGCCAGCCACAGUAGGAAACAGCUGGACCUGGACCUGGGAGAGUCUAAAAAGCCCCCAUAACAACUCUGUAUGAAAACCUUCCAAAUGUAAUUUGUGUCCAUUUUUCCUUGAUCGUUUUCAUCUGUCCUACAUACUUAAAGUGGCGUGUUGGUAAAAUAAUGUCCAAACGCAGUAGUUGUCAUCAGACAGUUUGGAGUAGUAGAUCAAAUCAAAAUAUUGUCAUGUGCGCCGAAUACAACAGGUUACAGUGAAAUGCUUACUUACAGGCUCUAACCAAUAGUGUGAAAAAAAGGUGUGUGUGUGUGUGUGUGUGUGUGUGUGUGUGUGUGUGUGUGUGUGUGUGUGUGUGUGUGUGUGUGUGUGUGUGUGUGUGUGUGUGUGUGUGUGUGUGUGUAGGUAAGUAAAGAAAUAAAACAACAGUAAAAAGACAUUUGAAAAUAAGAGUAGCGAGGCUACAUACAGACACCGGUUAGUCAGGCUGAUUGAGGUAGUAUGUACAUGAAUGUAUAGUUAAAGUGACUAUGCAUAUAAGAUAAACAGAGAGUAGCAGGGGGGGAGGGCACACAAUGCAAAUAGUCCGGGUAACCAUUUGGUUACCUGUUCAGGAGGUGAUGUGACUGGUCAGAAUGCUCUCGAUGGUGCAGCUGUAGAACCUUUUGAGGAUCUCAUGACCCAUGCCAAAUCUUUUUAGUUUCCUGAGGGGGAAUAGGCUUUGUCGUGCCCUCUUCACGACUAUCUUGGUGUGUUUGGACCAUUCUAAUUUGUUGUUGAUGUGGACACCAAGGAAUUUGAAGCUCUCAACCUGCUCCACUACAGCCCCGUCGAUGAGAAUGGGGGCGUGCUCGGUCCUCCUUUUCCUGUAAUCCACAAUCAUCUCCUUAGUCUUGGUUACGUUGAGGGAUAGGUUGUUAUUCUGUCACCACCCGGCCAGGUCUCUGACCUCCUCCCUAUAGGCUGUCUCGUCAUUGUCGGUGAUCAGGCCUACCACUGUUGUGUCAUCAGCAAACUUAAUGAUGGUGUUGGAGUCGUGGCUGGCCAUGCAGUCGUGGGUGAACAGGGAGUACAGGAGGGGACUGAGCACGCACCCCUGGGGAGCUCCAGUGUUGAG